GCUGGGCGCAGUGGUGCUUGCCUGUAAUCCCAGCAGCUCAGGAAGCUGAGGCAGGAGGAUCGUGAGUUCAAAGCCAGCCUCAG
rnacentral:sRNA from 1 species